GGAUGAUGUACGGCACCUUUAGCGCAACCAUACCGAGCGAGCAGUUCCUCUGCAGCUGCGUGAGCAUCUUCGCGACAUAUGGAUUCUUCUUCCUCAUGUCAUCGAUAAUGAGCGUUCCGACGGCCCUUAUGCUCCCCAGACUGUUUUACAUCGUCGCGAUAGCCUGCGGAGUAUUACAUUUGGCCCAAUUCAUCUAUUCGCUGAUUGAGAACUGAGGACAGACGGAGAGGUGGUCACCUGCGCACGAUUAGGCCUUUUGUGACUUUAUAUUACCUGUGCUAUGACAAAAUGAAAACGUGCACACACCAAAGAGGGGCCUAAUGUCGCGACCACAAAAUUAUUUUCAUGCUUCGAGACGCAGUUGACAAAUAUAACUGCAACGGCGGCUCAUGAUCUUUUUCUGUUUUCAUCUGCAGUCAUUGCAAUAAAUUUUAACGUAUCAAUAAACACCAUGGUUGUUUCAUAUAUGUAAAAA